GGAUGCGAGGGCAAGCUGUCCUGAAAUGUCAUCUCAUAGAUCCUCAGGUUCGUUCAGGUGAUCUGGCUGGCUGGGGGGCAGCCCCAUCCCUCAUGGCUCCAGCUGGUCUCUCUCAAAGUUGUACAUAUAUUGGAAUACAAUGAUAUUUUCAGGAAGCAGAGAGCCAUUCUUUUGUUAAGAAUUUACUAGAAGCUGACUAGAAUAUUUCAUUUAACCUCAAGAAAUUACAAUAAUGCAUUUAGACCUUUAUGUUAUACCAU
ensembl:misc_RNA 7SK 7SK RNA